rnacentral:rRNA from 1 species
AAGCUCCUACGGGGCGCAGCAGUGGGGAAUAUUGCACAAUGGGGGAAACCCUGAUGCAGCGACGCCGCGUGAGUGAAGAAGUAGUUCGGUAUGUAAAUCUCUGUCAGCAGGGAAGAAAAUGACGGUACCUGACCAAGAAGCCCCGGCUAACUACGUGCCAGCAGCCGCGGUAAUACGUAGGGGGCAAGCGUUAUCCGGAUUUACUGGGUGUAAAGGGAGCGUAGACGGCAGGGCAAGUCUGGAGUGAAAGGCGGGGGCUCAACCCCCGGACUGCUCUGGAAACUGCCAGGACGGAGUGCAG